rnacentral:tRNA from 1 species
AGGGAUGUAGCUCAAAAUGGUAGAGCUCUCAGCUUGUAACCUGUAUGAACAAGUUACAAGACGAUCAAGGUUCAAAUCCUUGCGUCCCUG